rnacentral:rRNA from 1 species
AGAGCGAACGCUGGCGGCAGGCUUAACACAUGCAAGUCGAGCGGGCGUAGCAAUACGUCAGCGGCAGACGGGUGAGUAACGCGUGGGAACAUACCUUUUGGUUCGGAACAACACAGGGAAACUUGUGCUAAUACCGGAUAAGCCCUUACGGGGAAAGAUUUAUCGCCGAAAGAUUGGCCCGCGUCUGAUUAGCUAGUUGGUGAGGUAACGGCUCACCAAGGCGACGAUCAGUAGCUGGUCUGAGAGGAUGAUCAGCCACAUUGGGACUGAGACACGGCCCAAACUCCUACGGGAGGCAGCAGUGGGGAAUAUUGGACAAUGGGCGCAAGCCUGAUCCAGCCAUGCCGCGUGAGUGAUGAAGGCCCUAGGGUUGUAAAGCUCUUUUGUGCGGGAAGAUAAUGACGGUACCGCAAGAAUAACGCCCGGCUAACUUCGCGCCAGCAGCCGC